AGGGUUUGAUCAUGGCUCAGAACGAACGCUGGCGGCGUGGUUCAGGCAUGCAAGUCGAGCGAUCCAGCAAUGGAUAGCGGCAGAAGGGUUAGUAACACGUGGGUAACGUACCCUCGAUUCGGGGAUAACACCGCGAAAGCGGUGCUAAUACCCGAUGACACUACCGGGUGGCAUCAUCAGGUAAUCAAAGGUAGCUCGCAAGAGCUUCCGAUUGAGGAGCGGCCCGCGGCCUAUCAGCUAGUUGGUGAGGUAACGGCUCGCCAAGGCUUUUGACGGGUAGCUGGUCUAAGAGGACGAUCAGCAACAUUGGGACUGAGACACUGCCCAGACUCCUACGGGAGGCUGCAGUCGAGGAUCUUUAGCAAUGCCCGAAAGGGUGACUAUGCGACGCCGCGUGGAGGAUGACGGCCUUCGGGUUGUAAACUCCUGUCAGGGGGGAAGAAACCUUACCGGUUAAUAGCCGGCAAGCUGACAUCACCCCCAAAGGAAGCCACGGCUAACUCUGUGCCAGCAGCCGCGGUAAGACAGAGGUGGCAAGCGUUGUUCGGAUUCAUUGGGUGUAAAGGGCAGGUAGGUGGCCUUGUAAGUCCGGUGUGAAAUCCCAGAGCUCAACUCUGGAACUGCAUUGGAAACUGCAAGGCUUGAAUACCGGAGAGGUGAGGGGAAUUCUCGGUGUAAGGGUGAAAUCUGUAGAUAUCGAGAGGAACACCAGUGGCGAAGGCGCCUCACUGGCCGGUUAUUGACACUGAGCUGCGAAAGCAAGGGGAGCAAACAGGAUUAGAUACCCUGGUAGUCCUUGCCGUAAACGAUGUGGAUUAUGUGUCGGAGGUGUCGAUCCCUCCGGU
rnacentral:rRNA from 1 species